rnacentral:miRNA from 1 species
CAAAGAUGAAUAAGAAACUUUUCCUUCUUUCAAGGAGCUCACAGUCUACUGAGGAGACAAACUCUGCAUGAAGCCAUCUGCUCCUGGUGGCAGGUGUGUACA